UGACAGGCCGGUGGGGCACGUGAUCGCCCCGCCUCUCGGACACAUGACGGCGUGGGGGGCGUUCUUGGUUUGUCUGUGGCGGGAGCGGGCCGGGGACGUCGAGCUGGCGCCGGAAUCGGGGACGGCGGAGCUAGGGGGCUUCGCGCCGGAGCCGGCCGCUGCACCGGGCCUAGAUCGGCCGGUCGGUCACUCGCUAACUGAAGAGCCCGCCUACUGGGCCUGCGUGGGGCAGCGUGGACGUGCGCCGCCAAGUGAGCCAGGGCGGUGGCCCGAACCUGGAGCCGCCGGUCCCGGAGGGCUGCCCGCGCGCCAGGGUGUGCAGCGGAGCAGAGCCGCUGUCUGUGGCCCGCUUCAGCCUAGGGCUGUGUGGCGGACCGCUUGGCUUUGCUUCCCGUACCGUGAAGACACAUCCGGAUUUUAUUUAUUUAUUUGACAGAGAGACAGCAAGAGAGAGAACACAAGCAGCGGAAGUGGGAGAGAGAGAAGCAGGCUUCCCGCGGAGCAGGGAUCCUGAUGCGAGGCUCGAUCCCAGGACCCUGGGACCAUGACCUGAGCCGAAGGCAGACGCUUAACCGACUGAGCCACCCAGGCGCCCCUUAACGUUACUACGUCUUUACAGCAGCAGUGAGUGGUCAGCAGUGCUCUUGAGGCCCAUAGACGGGGAGAGACUUUACUGAGGCGUCGCAGCCUGGAAGUGGAGGAGCCAGGGUUGAACCCAGGCAUCGGCCUAACCAGCCUGUAGACCGUCAACCAGAGCACAAGUAGGCAGAGCUGCAGGCAGAGGGAGAGGAAGAAGCAGGCUCCCCGCUGAGCAGAGGGCCCGAUGCGGGACUCGAUCCCAAGAGCCUGGGACCAUGACUGGAGCCAAAGGCAGAUGCUUAACCAACUGAGCCACCCAGGCGCCCCUUAAGAUGCAAUUUAAACAAGAUUUCUGGUGCUCCCUUUGGCAGCACGUAUACUAAACAAGACUUCUGCUCUUUGCUCUUCAACAAAGGAAACCCGUCUAUUUCAAAACAAAAUGGAACUGCCCCUUGGAGCUCUUACGUUCUCCUAGUAAGUUUCCUCCACAGACCUGGGAUCAGCACCGUCACCAUUACUAUUACUACUACUAAUACCAUUAGUAGGGCUGCCUGUGAUUGAUCACUCACUGUGCUGGUAGCUUUACCACUUGAUCUCAUUUACUCCUCACACAGCCCCAGGGGCAGGUAUGCUCAUUAGCCUCCUUUAAAGAAGGGGAACUUAGCACAGAGAGGUUAAGGGACUCACCCAAGGUCACACAGCCGGUGGUGACAGUGCCAGGAUCCUAUCAGAGCCAGGCCUUGCUCACCCCUCAGUGCAGGGCCAGCAAAGCAGCCCGAGCUCCUCCAAAACCGUCUUCAUCACAGAGAUGUGUCUUUUGACAAGCCAGGAGCUGAGGCUGCCGUAUGGAUGCAGAAAACUCCUUCUGGUCAAAAUGAGGAUGAACAAGAGGAGGGGCUAGUUGCCUUCUUAAGAAAAAAACAAAAACAACAAACCCCCAUGCAGUAAUGGCCAUGUUUAUUAAACACGUGGCUCUGUGUUCUAGGAUAGUGUUCUCCAAGUAUCACCAUAGAUCUCUAGCCCCCCAGGAGCUGAGCUUUGAUGUUCCCCCCUAAAAGAGCCCCAAAGCCAAGUAACUUGGGAAAUGUUGCACCUUCCCCUUCCUCCAAAGAUUCGAAGGACUUUAUAGAGGCUCUGAAAAGUCCUGUCAUGAAGAAACUGGUUAAGCUUUGUCUGACCCAGUGAUUCCUGAACUUAUUUGACCCCAGCCGCCCAUUUUUAAUACAAGACCCAUUGACAGGGACACCUGGUGGCUCAGUCGCUAGAGCAUGUGACUCUUGAUCCUACGGUCGUGAGUUCAAGCCCCACGUUGGGCAUGGGGCCUACUUUAAAAAGCAAACAAAAACAAAACAAAAAACCACUGACAGCCCCAGGCUGUGCACAGCUAUCUGUACCAGGCUGGACAGCAUGCUUCUAAGCACGGGGUCUGGCUUUUUCUUGUCUUCACUGUAGGUGAGGAAUGGAAGUGCGGGAGGUUCGAUGUUACCUGCGGGGUCCUCUACUCGCUCAACUUAGAAAAUAAAUACGAGGGGCGCCUGACUGGCUCAGUCAGUAAAGCAUGCGACUCUUGAUCUCAGUUUCAUGAGUCCAAGCCUCACAUUGAGUGUAGAGUUUACUUAAAAAUUAAAUCUUAAAAAAUAAACACUAGAGUGUUCAAUAUAGAGAAACACCAACUGAUAUCAAACUUAAAAAGGGUGGGUAACUCGGUUAAGCAUCUGCCUUCAGCUUGGGUCAUGAUACCGGGGUCCUGGGAUCGAGCCCCACGUCGGGCUCCCUGCUCAGCGGGGAGCCUGCUUCUCCCUCUCUUGCUCCCCCUGCUUGUGAGCUGUCUCUCUCUCUGUGUGUCAAAUAAAUAAAAUCUUUAAAAAAAACAAAAACAAAACUUUAAAGUGGCUGGCAGUGCCAGGAGAUCGUGAUAAAGAAAAUUAUAACAUUUUCUGAUAAACCAUUUUAUUUUAUGUCCUAUCCCUUUGAGGCUGAAGAAGGGCUUUGUCUUGUCAAUAAAAAUGUAGACGUGUUCCCCUACCCCCAUGGUGAAAGUGACCAUUGCACUGAAGGCAAACAAAGUCUUAACCUAACAGGAUGCUGUGUCCUGUGCUUUGCACCUCACCCAACCCAGGGCAUUCUGCUGGAAAUUUUGGGUUGUCUCUGUAAAAUGUUUACAUUAUAGGGUUCUUUUUCUUCCAAGUAAACACUUGUAUGCGUAACCUGAGCAGGUUUUUGGAUGGACGCGUGGUUGCUUUAGGCCAGCAAUAGGCUUCCCUCAGCAAGAAGGAAGGAAAUUCAGCCUCUGCCCAUCCCGCAGUCCUGGAAUGAAAGAUCUUAUGGAACUUUUUAAAAAGAUUUUAUUUAUUUGAGAGAGAGAGAGGGAGAGAGAGCAGAGAGCCUAAUGCAGGGCUCAAUCCCAGGACUGUGGGAUCAUGACCGAAGCCGAAGGCAGACACUCAAUCUACUGAGCUACCCAGAUGCCCCAGAUCUUAUGGAAUUAAAUGAAAUUGAAUAAAUAUCUACCAGAGCCUAUUCAGUUUCUGGCCCAGCACUGCCCUGCCUGGCAGGGAGGGAAAGUUGGCUAGGGCAGCAGGUAGAUGCAGAACCCUGGGCAGGUGGGGGUGUGGGGUUGGAGAGGACCAGGACCUGGAACCCUCGCCUUUGGGGAGCAUCACGGGCUGGGACCUGCAAUUACACCGACUAGCCACUAGGGGUCAGACCGCCUCUGGCUUGUACUCCGUCCCAGCAGCCUGACAGCAUCCCCUGUUUCUCAGGGAUCUCUGAGCACCCUCUGAGAUCACGGUUUGCACCAUGGUGCACAGGGGACUGAAAAAAUGAUAGAACAGGACCCAGCCCACGCCCUCCUGGUGGGUAAAAGUCUCUAGGCACGGGCAGUAUCUGAGUUUGAAUCCCCGUUCCGCCUCUUGUUACCAAUGAGACCUGAAGCAAUUACUUCUGCUCUGAACUUGCUACCUCCACAUCCUCAAACUGCAGUGGUAAUAACCUGCCUCACUAGUGCUGUGAACGUAGCCGUUCGGACAGGCCACUCCUCACAGUGGUGCCACCGCCCAGUCUUCCCAGGCCUGAGUCUCCGGCCACGGACUCGGGGGUGCGGGCAAGCCCACUGACUCCAUUUUCUGUAACAGCCUCAUUUCUGACCCAAGACCUCAUUCCCCGAUUCCAUGGGCACCAGUUUUGGAGUUCUGCCCCCUUCCUAAGUCAGGACUACUGCAGGGAUAGGGCCCUGUGGGGGAGCCUGCUGCCCUGGGUUAUCUGUCCACACUGAUCAUGGCAGCCCCCCUGGUCCCAGCCCUCCAGCCCCCCUGUGGGCCCCUUUGCCCAGCCUGCCUGGGGUCCUGUCACCUGGGUGCCAUACCUCUCUUGCUUUGCUCUCUGGGGACUGGAGGCAGCAGGCCCAGAACCCCCUCACCUGCCUCUCCUCGCCCCAGACCAGGGGAGUCUCCCUGCGGUCCAAGAUGCUUUGUCGACCCUGCUUCUCCAGGACACCUUGCCCACAAGGGAGCCAUUACUUCAGCCAUCCCUCCUCCCUUCCCCUUUGUUCUCCUAAGGGCUUGGGCUUUUGGGAAAAAACAAAGUCCAAAAGACCCAUAGGCAACUUCCGCUUCAGUCCUGGAGAAACGGGCCCCGCGACCAGCUGCUCCUUGAAUGCAGAGAAGGAAAGGCAAGAUGGGGUGGGGAAGCAGAUUUCAAUAUAGGCAGUCCCUGCUCUGCACGGUUUCAAUAUGCACAUAUUUUUGUUACCACGGUAUAGUAAAAUAACAGCAGUCCCCCAGCCGCACAGUUCCAGUACCUGUCACCCUGUGUAUUAACUGAGUAAUUGCACCAGGUACAGACUGUGGUGAGCUCUCCAGCCUGCAAAUCACUACCUACAUCACAGUCGUGUGUCAUCAUCAGUGACCAUCUGGCGCUUCUUUCAAAGUCCGUGGGUCACCAGUCACCGCGCACGUUACUCAGUUCCCGCGCAGCCGGCAGUCGGUAGCUGCGCCGCCUUCCGUGAUGAAUACACUUGCCAUUUUGCAAAAGUGCAUCUGUGAAGCCGGGACUUGGCCAGCAAAGAUGAGAGCGGCGAGGAGCAGGAAGUGUUAACCCUGGAGGUCACGCAUGGAUGCACCAGCAGUGGGGUCCCAGAGGAAAGCGCUGCAGAGGGGCAGGGACGCCAGCAGCUGGAGGAGCCUGGCGAGGCCGAAUCUGGAAGGACCAUGUCCCGAGGCUGAAAUCUACCACCUUAACCACUUCCAAGUGGCUGGUUCUGUGGCAUCGUGUACAUUCACACUGUCGAACAAACAGGGACUGCUCCACAAACUUGUGCAUCCACGUUGUGCAGACUCACGCUCAUCUCCUCUGGGUCGUUCCAAUUUUAGCAUCUGUGCUGCUUUCGAACAAAGAAAUAAGCACUAUCACUCUCAAUGUUUCUGAUAUUUUAAGAUAGAGUGUUCUACAUAAAUAUUCAUUUUA